AUGAUGACUGACUUGCACUUCAUGCCUCUGUGCUCGAAUUCUCCACAAGGAUGCCCACAAAACGACCACGACAUGCACCAUGCCAGCUUCCAACACGUUGUCGGCUGCCUAAACCAAACUCAUUGCCACCAUAGGCCCAUCAUUACAUACCUGCAUAAAAAAUUGAUGCUGCAUCAAAAUCCCCUACAAAUUUACAGCCCCGCUGCAAUAUACGCCAGCAUUACCAACCUGCACAAAGCUACUCAUAUCAGAAACAUAAAACGUAAGAGAAAAACCUGCAUACAAAACAUAGUUCCUAAUUUUUUCUACCAGUUCUUAACCAAUUAA